rnacentral:rRNA from 1 species
GUUUAACGGCCGCGGUAUUUUGACCGUGCAAAGGUAGCGCAAUCACUUGUCUUUUAAAUAAAGACCUGUAUGAAUGGCAUAACGAGGGCUAAACUGUCUCCUUACUCCAGUUAAUGAAAUUGAUCUCCCCGUGCAGAAGCGGGGAUUAACCCAUAAGACGAGAAGACCCUGUGGAGCUUUAGAUGAUAGAUGAAUUUAUUAAAAAAUUAAUACCAAAUAAAAGGUAAUUAAAACGAUGACCUCAUCUUAAAUCUUUAGUUGGGGCGACCGCGGAGUAAAACAAAACCUCCGUGAGGAUUGAGAUGAAAACCUUAUACCCAAGAAUGUCAUUUCUAAGUACCAAAAUAUUUGACCAAUUGAUCCGGCAACAGCCGAUUAACGAACCUAGUUACCCCAGGGAUAACAGCGCAAUCCUCUUUGAGAGUCCCUAUCGACAAGAGGGUUUACGACCUCGAUGUUGGAUCAGGACAUCCUAAUGGUGUAG